GACGGAGGAUGCAAGUGUUAUCCGGAAUCACUGGGCGUAAAGCGUCUGUAGGUGGUUUAAAAAGUCCACUGUUAAAAAUUGAAGCUUAACUUCAAAGAUGCCGUGGAAACUUUUAAACUUGAGUAUGGUAGGGGUAGAGGGAAUUUCCAGUGGAGCGGUGAAAUGCGUAGAUAUUGGAAAAGACCACCAAUGGCGAAGGCACUCUACUGGGCCAUUACUGACACUGAGAGACGAAAGCUAGGGGAGCAAAUGGG
rnacentral:rRNA from 1 species